UUUUUGUUACAUAUAAAGUGAGGUUACGUCACUACAGUACACUACAGUCCGGGACUUGUGUCAUUUUCAAACCGACUUUAACAUACAGUUCAUGUUCCGAGAUCUGCUCAUCCAAAUAUGGUAAUAAUAUGAUGUCAGUCUCAAAAUGUUUAUAACAACGCGAGCACGAUAACUCGAAAACUCAGACUCCAGAAAUUUUAAAGGCAGUUUUUAAUAAAUGUUCAAUCUUAUUCCUUCAAUUUGCACUAAUUAGAUACUGUAUUUAAAAAAAUGGAAUAUCGGUAAAGAUUGCCUCAUUGGAGCAAUUUUAAUAUUAAUGUAUUAUCAAAAUGGCUGUAUAAAUUUGUGAAUGAGUGUUACACGCACAAGAAAUUAUGCCAAUAAUGACAGUUCUUCGUAACAAGAUCUUGCUCGUAACAUAGUUGAGAUUUUUCAAAAAUUAAUUGCAGUGGAUGAAUCAAAUGUUGAAAAUCAUUCCGUAGUUUGCAGAGCAUUUGUUUACAUAAAAUAUAAAAUAUCUUGUUGUUAUUGUGACAAACCUUAGAAAAUUAUAUCAAUACUUUUAUAUAUUAACAUUUAACAAAGGCUCUGUAUCAUGGUGCUACUUGUUUGUAUACCAUCUUGAGGAAAAUCUCAUCAAUUUGCUGAGAAGAAAAAAGAUAUUAAACGUACAUAAUUUUAAAUUAUUUGAGAUAAUGAAUUUUUCAAUUUUUAAACUAUGCACCUUCUAGUUUAACAGAUAUCUCUCAUGCUGCAAUUUUCUAAUUCAACAAAUUUAAAAUGAUAAUAAUUUUUUUAUUAUUUUUGAAACAUUUAAGGUGGUACAGCACCAAAUACUUUCUGAA